UCAGGUUUUAGGGACCUUGCGGUGUUUAGCUAAUAGUUACAAUGUGAUCAUGUGAUCAGUAUCAAUGCUGUACCUUUAAGUUUUGGGAGAUCCAAAUCCUGGUGUAUAUACAAAUUGUAGAAAAACAUAGGAUCUCCCAAUUUUCAUGUCUUACCUUUGUGUCAUUAAUAAAUGACAUAUUUACAACUACA